CUGUAGAGCAUAUGAUCUUUACUGAUGCACCUGCAUCUGGCUCAGACUUAGUCACCCAGCCCUGAAAUUAUAUCAUAUCACAGGUCAUUCUCUGAGUCUCUUAAUGUGAGGCCUUGAGAGAAAAAUCAACAUGCCUUCUGUUGGAUGAAGACCAAUCAGCAAGAUGGUGGUGAUUGUGGUACAGGUCUGUAACAAUGCAAAAGUCAGAACUGGUUGAAAUGUAAAAUUCAGUCCCCUUUUUAUAGAGUCGUUGCAAGGAUCAAGUGAGUUGAAAUCCGUAAGGUGCUUGGGAGAAUGCCUGGCGCCUGGAAGCACUGUAUAUUCCAAAAAAGGAGAUAUAAACAUGACCAUAAAAGACAUGAAAAGAUGUUUAACCCCAUUAGUCAUCGUGGAAAUGCAAAUGAAAACCACCAUACAGACACUAGAGUGGUUUAAAUUUGAAUGACUUCCAACACCAAAUGCCAGACAGGACAUAGAGCAACUGGAUGUCUCAUGCUCACAGGCAGAAGGGAAAACUACUGUGUGUGACAGGAAGAUGGACUUACCCAACCUUCAGCAUUCUCAAUCUCUUGUCUAUUAACAUGUGUUUGAAACAUUAUGCAUUCAAAGCAAACAUCUGGGAGGAAGAUGGGAGAAGCCUUCUUGCCCCUGUUCUACAGAAGUAAUUGAAGUUCAUGACAUUCAAGCUCAUUCACCAGUAAAUGAAUUUGGGUCAUGCUUUAUGUCUGUUGUAAAUACAGUGAAAAUUUGCCUCUGUUCCUGAA
rnacentral:lncRNA from 1 species